CAUCAGGUUAGUGACACUUCAAACUGUAAAGCACUAAGGUGACGAGUAAAUGAUACUCACUGCAGCUCAGGGAGAAGUGAUAUUUUUGGAAAACUUUUUU